rnacentral:rRNA from 1 species
GAUUAAGUUAUUAAGGGCGCACGGUGGAUGCCUUGGCACUAGAAGCCGAUGAAGGACGUUACUAACGACGAUAUGCUUUGGGGAGCUGUAAGUAAGCGUUGAUCCAGAGAUUUCCGAAUGGGGAAACCCAGCAUGAGUUAUGUCAUGUUAUCGAUAUGUGAAUACAUAGCAUAUCAGAAGGCAGACCCGGAGAACUGAAACAUCUUAGUACCCGGAGGAAGAGAAAGAAAAAUCGAUUCCCUGAGUAGCGGCGAGCGAAACGGGAAGAGCCCAAACCAACAAGCUUGCUUGUUGGGGUUGUAGGACACUCUAUACGGAGUUACAAAAGUAUAUAUUAGACGAAUCAUCUGGAAAGUUGAAUCAAAGAAGGUAAUAAUCCUGUAGUCGAAAAUAUAUACUCUCUUGAGUGGAUCCUGAGUACGACGGAGCACGUGAAAUUCCGUCGGAAUCUGGGAGGACCAUCUCCUAAGGCUAAAUACUCUCUAGUGACCGAUAGUGAACCAGUACCGUGAGGGAAAGGUGAAAAGUACCCCGGAAGGGGAGUGAAAGAGAACUUGAAACCGUGUGCUUACAAGUAGUCAGAGCCCGUUAAUGGGUGAUGGCGUGCCUUUUGUAGAAUGAACCGGCGAGUUACGAUUUGAUGCAAGGUUAAGCAGCUAAUGUGGAGCCGUAGCGAAAGCGAGUCUGAAUAGGGCGUUUAGUAUUUGGUCGUAGACCCGAAACCAGGUGAUCUACCCUUGGUCAGGUUGAAGUUCAGGUAACACUGAAUGGAGGACCGAACCGACUUACGUUGAAAAGUGAGCGGAUGAACUGAGGGUAGCGGAGAAAUUCCAAUCGAACUUGGAGAUAGCUGGUUCUCUCCGAAAUAGCUUUAGGGCUAGCCUCAAGUGAUGAUUAUUGGAGGUAGAGCACUGUUUGGACGAGGGGCCCUUCUCGGGUUACCGAAUUCAGACAAACUCCGAAUGCCAAUUAAUUUAACUUGGGAGUCAGAACAUGGGUGAUAAGGUCCGUGUUCGAAAGGGAAACAGCCCAGACCACCAGCUAAGGUCCCAAAAUAUAUGUUAAGUGGAAAAGGAUGUGGCGUUGCCCAGACAACUAGGAUGUUGGCUUAGAAGCAGCCAUCAUUUAAAGAGUGCGUAAUAGCUCACUAGUCGAGUGACACUGCGCCGAAAAUGUACCGGGGCUAAACAUAUUACCGAAGCUGUGGAUUGUCCGUAGGACAAUGGUAGGAGAGCGUUCUAAGGGCGUCGAAGCAUGAUCGCAAGGACAUGUGGAGCGCUUAGAAGUGAGAAUGCCGGUGUGAGUAGCGAAAGACGGGUGAGAAUCCCGUCCACCGAUUGACUAAGGUUUCCAGAGGAAGGCUCGUCCGCUCUGGGUUAGUCGGGUCCUAAGCUGAGGCCGACAGGCGUAGGCGAUGGAUAACAGGUUGAUAUUCCUGUACCACCUAGUAUCGUUUUAAUCGAUGGGGGGACGCAGUAGGAUAGGCGAAGCGUGCUAUUGGAUUGCACGUCCAAGCAGUAAGACUGAGUGUUAGGCAAAUCCGGCACUCAUAAGGUCAAGCUGUGAUGGGGAGAGGAAAUUGUUUCCUCGAGUCGUUGAUUUCACACUGCCAAGAAAAGCCUCUAGAUAGAUAACAGGUGCCCGUACCGCAAACCGACACAGGUAGUCAAGAUGAGAAUUCUAAGGUGAGCGAGCGAACUCUCGUUAAGGAACUCGGCAAAAUGACCCCGUAACUUCGGGAGAAGGGGUGCUCUUUAGGGUUAACGCCCAGAAGAGCCGCAGUGAAUAGGCCCAAGCGACUGUUUAUCAAAAACACAGGUCUCUGCUAAACCGUAAGGUGAUGUAUAGGGGCUGACGCCUGCCCGGUGCUGGAAGGUUAAGAGGAGUAGUUAGCUUCUGCGAAGCUACGAAUCGAAGCCCCAGUAAACGGCGGCCGUAACUAUAACGGUCCUAAGGUAGCGAAAUUCCUUGUCGGGUAAGUUCCGACCCGCACGAAAGGCGUAACGAUUUGGGCACUGUCUCAACGAGAGACUCGGUGAAAUCAUAGUACCUGUGAAGAUGCAGGUUACCCGCGACAGGACGGAAAGACCCCGUGGAGCUUUACUGUAGCCUGAUAUUGAAAUUCGGCACAGCUUGUACAGGAUAGGUAGGAGCCUUUGAAACGUGAGCGCUAGCUUACGUGGAGGCAUUGGUGGGAUACUACCCUAGCUGUGUUGGCUUUCUAACCCGCACCACUUAUCGUGGUGGGAGACAGUGUCAGGUGGGCAGUUUGACUGGGGCGGUCGCCUCCUAAAAGGUAACGGAGGCGCUCAAAGGUUCCCUCAGAAUGGUUGGAAAUCAUUCAUAGAGUGUAAAGGCAUAAGGGAGCUUGACUGCGAGACUUACAAGUCGAGCAGGGUCGAAAGACGGACUUAGUGAUCCGGUGGUUCCGCAUGGAAGGGCCAUCGCUCAACGGAUAAAAGCUACCCCGGGGAUAACAGGCUUAUCUCCCCCAAGAGUUCACAUCGACGGGGAG